AGUGAACGCUGGCGGUAGGCCUAACACAUGCAAGUCGAACGGCAGCACAGUAAGAGCUUGCUCUUACGGGUGGCGAGUGGCGGACGGGUGAGGAAUACAUCGGAAUCUACUUUUUCGUGGGGGAUAACGUAGGGAAACUUACGCUAAUACCGCAUACGACCUACGGGUGAAAGCAGGGGAUCUUCGGACCUUUCGCGAUUGAAUGAGCCGAUGUCGGAUUAGCUAGUUGGCGGGGUAAAGGCCCACCAAGGCGACGAUCCGUAGCUGGUCUGAGAGGAUGAUCGGCCACACUGGAACUGAGACACGGUCCAGAGUCCUACGGGAGGCAGCAGUGGGGAAUAUUGGACAAUGGGCGCAAGCCUGAUCCAGCGAUACCGCGUGGGUGAAGAAGGCCUUCGGGUUGUAAAGCCCUUUUGUUGGGAAAGAAAAGCAGCAGGUUAAUACCCCGCUGUUCUGACGGUACCCAAAGAAUAAGCACCGGCUAACUUCGUG
rnacentral:rRNA from 1 species